AAUUCACGGUNAUCCAAUACAUUNCCGUCCAAAGCUGAUAGGGCAGUAAACUUGAAUGAUCCAUCGCCGGCAAAGCCAUGCGAUCCGCAAGCUUAUUAUGAAUCACCACAUCACCCCGAAGGGGUUGGUUUCAAUCUAAUAAAUACUACCCCAGAAGGGUAUUGACGCAUGUAUUAGCNCUAGAAUUACUACGGUUAUCCAAAUAGUAANGGACUAUUCAAAUAAAACUAUAACUGAUAUAACGAGCCAUUCGCAGUUUUCNAAAGUAAAAUAUUUAUACUUAGACGUGCAUGGCUUAAUUCUUGAGACNAGCGUAUGACUACUGGCAGGGAUCAACCANAAGCCGAAUU
rnacentral:rRNA from 1 species